GACGAACGCUGGCGGCGUGCUUAACACAUGCAAGUCGAACGGAAAGGCCCUGCUUUUGUGGGGUGCUCGAGUGGCGAACGGGUGAGUAACACGUGAGUAACCUGCCCUUGACUUUGGGAUAACUUCAGGAAACUGGGGCUAAUACCGGAUAGGAGCUCCUGCUGCAUGGUGGGGGUUGGAAAGUUUCGGCGGUUGGGGAUGGACUCGCGGCUUAUCAGCUUGUUGGUGGGGUAGUGGCUUACCAAGGCUUUGACGGGUAGCCGGCAUGAGAGGGUGACCGGCCACAUUGGGACUGAGAUACGGCCCAGACUCCUACGGGAGGCAGCAGUGGGGAAUAUUGCACAAUGGGCGGAAGCCUGAUGCAGCAACGCCGCAUGCGGGAUGACGGCCUUCGGGUUGUAAACCGCUUUCGCCUGUGACGAAGCGUGAGUGACGGUAAUGGGUAAAGAAGCACCGGCUAACUACGUG
rnacentral:rRNA from 1 species